GUAGUCCACGCAGUAAACGAUGAUAACUCGUUGCCGGCGAUACACAGUCGGUGACUUAGCGAAAGCGUUAAGUUAUCCACCUGGGGAGUACGUUCGCAAGAAUGAAACUCAAAGGAAUUGACGGGGGCCCGCACAAGCGGAGGAACAUGUGGUUUAAUUCGAUGAUACGCGAGGAACCUUACCCGGGCUUGAAAGUUAGUGACAGGGCUGGAAACAGUCUCUCUCUUCGGAGCACGAAACUAGGUGCUGCAUGGUUGUCGUCAGCUCGUGCCGUGAGGUGUCGGGUUAAGUCCCAUAACGAGCGCAACCCCUAUUGUUAGUUGCCAGCGAGUAAUGUCGGGAACUCUAACAAGACUGCCGGUGUAAACCGCGA
rnacentral:rRNA from 1 species